rnacentral:misc_RNA from 1 species
CCAAACUUGGUCAUUUAGAGGAAGUAAAAGUCGUAACAAGGUCUCCGUAGGUGAACCUGCGGAGGGAUCAUUACAGAAGUUGUUCUAAACAACGUAAACCCAUGUGAAUCUACCACUGUUGCCUCGGCUGGGUGCGGUGGUGGCCAACUCCGGGGCGAGCUACCCUGUAGCGGUCCCGAGGCGAGCCACCCUGUAGCAGCCGGUGUGUCAACCCAAACUCUUGAAUCUACGUGGGAAAUCUGAGCGUAUUGAUUUAAUAAGUCAAAACUUUCAACAACGGAUCUCUUGGUUCUGGCAUCGAUGAAGAACGCAGC